rfam:Helianthus annuus linkage group 13, whole genome shotgun sequence.
GUCCCUUUCGGGACAUCCGAUAAAACUGGAAUAAUACAGAGAAGAUUAGCAUGACCCUUGCGUAAGAAUAACACUUACAAAUCAAGAAAUGGUCUACAUUAAG